GGCGCCAUAGCCAAGUGGUAAGGCAGAGGACUGCAAAUCCUUUAUCACCGGUUCAAAUCCGGUUGGCGCCU
rnacentral:tRNA from 2 species